rnacentral:tRNA from 1 species
UGGCGGGUAGUUCAACUGGCAGAACGCCGGACUUUGGAUCCGGAGGUCGCAGGUUCGAUCCCUGCCCCGCCAA